GAAGAGCUGAGCUCAGGAGGGACGAGGAGCACACAGUGCCCGAGGAGACACCCUGCCUGCAGCCCUGCUGCAUCGUCUGUCCUCCUGGGCGUGGAGUGAGAACAAGGGACCAGGAGCGAGAGACCCUGAGAACAGAGCAGAGCUCUACCGUCACACCAGGUCCCUUAGAAAGCAGAGAAAAUAAAGAGGAGCAGCAUUUUGGAUCUAAUUCUGCACAACCAGGGAAAUUUGCUCGUCAGGUGAAAGUGAGAGAAAGCUCACUGUCACCCAGGAGUCUGGGACAGCUGGGAAGGGCCUGCUAGACGGUCCAGCGUGUGCCAACACUCAGGAAGAAGACUCCGUGAGAAUGCCAGAGAAGAAAAUGGAAAGAAUGAAACAAUAAUCAAUGAUGAUUUCGUUGAACUGCUGAAUAAACCAAACCCAGAAUCACCAUAUUCUACUUCUUGUCAUGAUGACUGUCUACCUUAAUCCUUGGCUGUCGUCUGUCAUCUCCCAGGGCCGAUUUCUACCUUUUUCGAAGACACCAGCUUGUGGUCCACACUAUCCCUCAUGACCUCGUUUUCUCAUACUGUUUUGGUAACUUCAAGGUCUAUGUUGGUGAAUCAGAAGACACACCAUAACCGCAUACUUCCUUAUCUUCUCUAGAUGGAUAUAUGGUCAUUUGAAAUAAAGAUAUU